UCCCUGCUGAUGAAGAUGCUCUUCUGCCCCUGCCAGUCAUCACUUCACGUGCCCACUGGAUGCAGGCUUUGCCAUGAGUCUAGACUGGUAGUGGGCAUUGACUGCAAGAACAGGUCUCUCCGAGUAUGUCCCAUAUCUCUUGGCAGAGACAUCCAUUUAAAGGAAGCAGUCUGCUUGGCUUAUUCAUUUACUAGUAUUUAUCAUCUUUUGUAUUUGUUCCUUCUUUCACUGAACAAA